rnacentral:snRNA from 1 species
AAUCAGCGGGGAAAGAAGACC